rnacentral:rRNA from 1 species
AGAGUUUGAUCCUGGCUCAGAUUGAACGCUUGCGGAAUGCUUUACACAUGCAAGUCGAACGAUGAACCUUAUCUUGCUAAGGGGAUUAGUGGCGAACGGGUGAUUAAUAUAUCGGAACGUGCCUUGUAGUGGGGGAUAACUAGACAAAAGAUUAACUAAUACCGCAUACGCCCUGAGGGGGAAAGUAGGGGAUCUUCGGACCUUACGUUAUAAGAGCGGCCGAUAUCUGAUUAGCUAGUUGGGGGGGUAAUGGCCUACCAAGGCGACGAUCAGUAGCUGGUCUGAGAGGACGACCAGCCACACUGGAACUGAGACACGGUCCAGACUCCUACGGGAGGCAGCAGUGGGGAAUUUUGGACAAUGGGCGCAAGCCUGAUCCAGCCAUUCCGCGUGAGUGAAGAAGGCCUUCGGGUUGUAAAGCUCUUUCGCAAGGGAAGAAAACUUACUUUCUAAUAAAGAGUGAGGCUGACGGUACCUUGAUAAGAAGCACCGGCUAACUACGUGCCAGCAGCCGCGGUAAUACGUAGGGUGCGAGCGUUAAUCGGAGUUACUGGGCGUAAAGCGUGCGCAGGCGGUUAUGUAAGUCAGAUGUGAAAUCCCCGGGCUCAACCUGGGAAUGGCAUUUGAGACUGCAUGGCUAGAGUGUGUCAGAGGGGGGUAGAAUUCCACGUGUAGCAGUGAAAUGCGUAGAGAUGUGGAGGAAUACCGAUGGCGAAGGCAGCCCCCUGGGAUAACACUGACGCUCAUGCACGAAAGCGUGGGGAGCAAACAGGAUUAGAUACCCUGGUAGUCCACGCCCUA